rnacentral:rRNA from 1 species
AUACGGAGGGGGCAAGCGUUGUUCGGAAUUACUGGGCGUAAAGGGCGCGUAGGCGGGAAGUCAAGUUAGGGGUGAAAGGCCUGGGCUCAACCUAGGAACUGCCUCUAAAACUGGCUAUCUAGAGUCCGGGAGAGGAUGGCGGAAUUCCCAGUGUAGAGGUGAAAUUCGUAGAUAUUGGGAAGAACACCAGUGGCGAAGGCGGCCAUCUGGUCCGGCACUGACGCUGAGGCGCGAAAGCGUGGGGAGCAAACAGGAUUAGAUACCCUGGUAGUCC